GCGGAUGGGCCGGCCCGAAAAGACCGGGCCCAUCCCCCUUAUCACGAUCGUGCCUAGGGCACGAUCGUGGAAGAAGGGGAAACGCAGAGAGAGGGGGGCGGCGGCAUUAGACGGGAUCAAUCGCCGGAGGAGGCAGAUCGUCGGGGGAGGCGACUCGCCGGAGGGGAUCGAGCGCCGGAGAGGGAGAUCCGGCCGGCCGCGGAGGGGGGGAAAGCCUUCCUCUUUCCUUCGGUGAAGACCCUCCAUUUCUCCGCCGAUUUCUCGCCGGAAAGGCCGCCGGAGCACCCAUCGGACCGAGGGGAGGAGACAGUGGUGCCAGGAGAUUUUGAUCAGGGGACUCAGCACCCCAGCGAGUAGGUUGUGACUCGGAUCCGUGUUUGAGUCAGUCGACAAUCUUAAGGCACUGGAUUCGUAGAAUCUGUCGGAUGGGACAAGAAGUGAGCUCGAUCUGAAGUCAGACUGCUAGAUAGUUAGAAGUCAAUUUAUCUUUUAGUUAUGGACAUUUGAAUUUAUGUAAUCAUUCAGUACAUUGUAGCUGGAUUUGAUUGAAUUACAUUAAUCUUUGGUUUUGGCAUUUA